rnacentral:sRNA from 1 species
GCUGGGUGUGGUGGCACAUGCCUGUAAUCCCAGCAGCUUGGAAGGCUAAGGCACGAGGAUCACGAGUUCAAACCCAGCCUCAGCAACUUAGCGAGGCCCUAAGCAACUCUGUGAGACCUUGUCUCUA